rfam:Colletotrichum salicis strain CBS 607.94 Scaffold_2655.1, whole genome shotgun sequence.
GGUCCUCUGGCGCAACGGUAGCGCGUUCGACUCCAGCUUCGGAAUUCAUCGAAAGGUUAUCUGUUCAAAUCAGGUGGGGAUCA